rnacentral:tRNA from 1 species
GGGGACUUAGCUCAGUGGUAGAGCGCUUGCCUAGCAAGCACAAGGCCCUGGAUUCGGUCCCCA